GGAAUAUUGGUCAAUGGGCGAGAGCCUGAACCAGCCAAGUAGCGUGCAGGAAGACUGCCCUAUGGGUUGUAAACUGCUUUUAUACGGGGAUAAAGUGAGGUAUGUAUACCUUUUUGUAGGUACCGUAUGAAUAAGGACCGGCUAAUUCCGUGCCAGCAGCCGCGGUAAUACGGAAGGUCCGGGCGUUAUCCGGAUUUAUUGGGUUUAAAGGGAGCGCAGGCUGAUUGCUAAGCGUGACGUGAAAUGUAGCCGCUCAACGGCUGAACUGCGUCGCGAACUGGCAGUCUUGAGUGAGUACGACGUCAGCGGAAUUCGUGGUGUAGCGGUGAAAUGCUUAGAUAUCACGAAGAACCCCGAUUGCGAAGGCAGCCAACAAGGCCUUUACUGACGCUAAAGCUCGAAGGUGCGGGUAUCGAACA
rnacentral:rRNA from 1 species